UGAACCUCUGUUCUGUUACAGGUUUAAACCAGUUUCUGAUGAUGUAAACUGGUUUGUGUGUAACUUCUCUCCCUAGCACCAGUAAUAUUGGUGGCGAGCCUGGUGCAGCCUGUGGAUAAAUGAACUCAUUUACCCCUUCUUGCAGCAGACUGGCUAUGAUGUGUGUUGCUGCCUUAGUCAUCAAGUAGCCAUCAGUCAUCUUUCCAGAAGCAUGAGCAACAGGAGGGUAAAAAUUCCACUGAAUGGGGAAGUUUCAGAAAACAAGCUAGGAUGUGUAGUGUCCCUGACUAUUAAGAUGAGAGCUGCAUUUCAUGACAGAAAGCAACAAACAGGAACAUCUAAUCUGUCCCUAGAGAUUUGGAGGCUCUGUAUGGGUGAGACCAAAUCCAAACCACUACUGGCUUAGGUGCCCUAACCCUGUUAUACUCCUGUCCCGUAUCAGACUCCUGCCCCACCACUGCCCGCACUGCUCCAGAGGCUGCUGCCUCAGGUGAUCACUGACCCAUCCAAACACAGGACAACCUCUUGGUUGCGGGAAGAGGUAACCACCAUUCCCCUUGCUAAUCAGGGAUGAGGGGAGGGGCCACUGCCAAUCAGGAGCAAGAGGUAGGGCUACAAGGCCCCUUAGCCAAUCAGCAGCAAGGGGUGGG
rnacentral:lncRNA from 1 species